UUAACUGGGCGUUAAGUUGCAGGGUAUAGACCCGAAACCCGGUGAUCUAGCCAUGGGCAGGUUGAAGGUUGGGUAACACUAACUGGAGGACCGAACCGACUAAUGUUGAAAAAUUAGCGGAUGACUUGUGGCUGGGGGUGAAAGGCCAAUCAAACCGGGAGAUAGCUGGUUCUCCCCGAAAGCUAUUUAGGUAGCGCCUCGUGAAUUCAUCUUCGGGGGUAGAGCACUGUUUCGGCUAGGGGGUCAUCCCGACUUACCAACCCGAUGCAAACU
rnacentral:rRNA from 1 species